rnacentral:rRNA from 1 species
GGCGAACGCUGGCGGCAUGCCUAACACAUGCAAGUCGAGCGAGCAGAUCCCUUCGGGGUGAAGCUAGCGGCGGACGGGUGAGUAACACGUGGGCAACCUGCCUCAUAGAGGGGAAUAGCCUUCCGAAAGGAAGAUUAAUACCGCAUAAGAUUGUAGCUUCGCAUGAAGCAGCAAUUAAAGGAGCAAUCCGCUAUGAGAUGGGCCCGCGGCGCAUUAGCUAGUUGGUGAGGUAACGGCUCACCAAGGCGACGAUGCGUAGCCGGCCUGAGAGGGUGAUCGGCCACAUUGGGACUGAGACACGGCCCAGACUCCUACGGGAGGCAGCAGUGGGGAAUAUUGCACAAUGGGGGAAACCCUGAUGCAGCAAUGCCGCGUGAGUGAUGACGGCCUUCGGGUUGUAAAGCUCUGUCUUCGGGGACGAUAAUGACGGUACCCGAGGAGGAAGCCACGGCUAACUACGUGCCAGCAGCCGCGGUAA